UGGGGAAUAUUGCACAAUGGGGGGAACCCUGAUGCAGCCAUGCCGCGUGUGUGAAGAAGGCCUUCGGGUUGUAAAGCACUUUCAGUGGUGAGGAAGGGUGUAAUGCUAAUACCAUUACACAUUGACGUUAGCCACAGAAGAAGCACCGGCUAACUCCGUGCCAGCAGCCGCGGUAAUACGGAGGGUGCGAGCGUUAAUCGGAAUUACUGGGCGUAAAGCGCACGCAGGUGGUCAAUUAAGCUAGAUGUGAAAGCCCAGCGCUCAACGUUGGAUGGUCAUUUAGAACUGGUUGACUAGAGUAUUGGAGAGGGGAGUGGAAUUUCUGGUGUAGCGGUGAAAUGCGUAGAGAUCAGAAGGAACAUCAGUGGCGAAGGCGACUCUCUGGCCAAAUACUGACACUCAUGUGCGAAAGUGUGGGUAGCGAACAGGAUUAGAUACCCCCGUAGUCC
rnacentral:rRNA from 1 species